rnacentral:rRNA from 1 species
UACGUAGGGGGCAAGCGUUAUCCGGAUUUACUGGGUGUAAAGGGAGCGUAGGUGGCAGGGCAAGUCAGAUGUGAAAACCCGGGGCUCAACCCCGGGAGUGCAUUUGAAACUGUCCAGCUGGAGUGCAGGAGAGGUAAGCGGAAUUCCUAGUGUAGCGGUGAAAUGCAUAGAUAUCACGAAGAACUCCGAUUGCGAAGGCAGCUCACUGGACUGCAACUGACACUGAGGCUCGAAAGUGUGGGUAUCAAACAGG